UUGCCAUUAUUUACUUUUUUAUUUUUAUCCUUUUAAUUAAAGGAAAAAAUAACAGGAUAUAUUAUAGUAACCCACUUUGACUUUUCAUUACCUCGAUUUAAAGCCCUGUAUUACUCUCACCAUCUGGUUUUAACUGAUGUUCCCCUAUUCUGUUUUGCUGGAUAGUAUCAGGUUCGAAAAUUUAGGCAUCAGCUGUGAAGAUAAUGAGACUCAUUAUAAUGCCCAUUCUCAUUGACUUUUAUCUACUUUUGAAGACCUACAAUGUCUCCAAUGUUUUGGUUUUGUCGGUUUUAUUCUUUACUGUUUUGUUCAAUUGUAUUAUAACUAACGAUAUAGGCAAUUCUAUUAGAGAUAGCGGGAGGCAUUAUGGUAACCAUUGUUGAUCACCUUGUAUUAUGUUUUCACACUAUCUAUUAUGUCCACCCUUUUGACUUGACCGAUUGUGUUCUGUUAUGUCACAUUUGGUUUUACUCUCUUCCAAAAAAGUAAUAAGAACCGUGGGAGCAAUGAAACCCAAAUUGUACAAAAGAGAGGAAAAGAAAGUGCUCUAAACUAUAUAACUGCAUGUAUAUUUAAGUGUAUAAGAUAGAAAAUGAUAUCAGAGUUUUAUUGGAUCAUUGAACAGAACUGUUUGCAGUAUCAUUGAUGGAAUGUCCACUUUACAAGCUUUAAUUUUGUGACUUGAACAAUUAUUUCUAAGAUGACAAUAUGUAAUCCAUUAACUAGUGAUUUCCUACUGUUCAUUUUUUUUUCUGCAAAUCUGUAUAACUUGUACCCUUUCUCUGCUUUUUUUUCUUUUCUCCUUAAAUAGAAUUAAAAAAUAAAUAAAUAAAAAUUAAAAAAAACUAUUGUGCCCAAUGUGACUGGUGAUUAUAGAGAUAAAAUACAAGUUCUUGCAUGUGCUGUGGAUAUCUGGGAGACUAUGCCGCAAAAUUACUUUUGUUACCUAUGAAAAAGCCUUUUUUUUUGUUAAGUAUGUAAUUUCAGUAAAACAGUGACCUGCCAUGUGGGCAAUGGCCCACCCUGGGACAAAAAAAAAGCAGUGUGCCAUCCGGAUAAAACCUGCCUCUGAUCCAGAAUGCCAAAACCAUGUUUUCCUUUUGUCCCACCCCAAUUGGACAACCAGAGAUGAGGAGGUUCCUUAUCGGUAUCGCCAGUUCUUCUCAGUAGCCAUUAGGGCACCCCAGAAAACCCACCAAUUUGCCCAAGAGAGCAGAGGUGAGGCAAUUGGCUCAACAGAGACUUAUUAGUCUCCCUCGGGGUUUUUUGAAAAGAGUGCAAAAGCCCUAUCACAUUUAUACACCAGUAGUGGCUAAAAAUGCAAGGGCCAUUAAUAUUGCCUUUGUAACCCAGUCGGCCACUGAUAUUAAGCAAAAAUUGCAAAAGUUUGAGAGAUUUGAGGAAAUGCCCUUCAAUCAGUUAUCAGAGGUUGCUUAAAAGAUAUUUGACAACCGGGAGGACCCUAAAGACCAGGCUUAAGAGGUUUCUGCUGGGCAGAAAAACUGCAUUGGUUGUUGGACUUUCCAUAAAAAAAUAAAAAUAAAUGACUCUUUCCUCCCAGCAGAUGCAAGCCAUCCAACAGAUUCCAGUCCCUGUGACUAAAAACCGAGUGCAAAAAUUUCGAGGAGCCAUAGGACUGAUGCAGAGUUUGGGACCCUGGCAGAGGCCUGUUGCCUAUCUUUCCAAGAAACUUGAUUAUGUGGCAGCCAGAUGGCCACCUUGUCUGUGGGUGUUUUCCUCGGUAGUCAUCCUGAUAGAGGAGACACAAAAACUGACUUGUGGACCAAAAUUCUUAAUUGUCUCCUCCUAUUCGCUGGAGACUCUCAUCAAGCCUCCACCAGACCAAUGGCUGCCCAACUCCCAAGUCAUGCAUUAUCAGGCAUUACUUCUAGAUCUGACUACCAUCAGUUUCAAGGGGACAGCGGCUUCAAACCCUGCUACUCUGCUGCCUGAUGAUGCCCCUCCUUGCCCCUCCACAUCUGUAUUGGGGACCAGACUUGACAGAUAAGCCACUAUUCAGAGUUCCUUUGUAUUUCUCCGAUGGAAGCAGUUAAAUUUAUCCAGCCCACUGAGAGGACAAACACCCUGCUGUAGAGCCUGAGUCGCCGGUGCUCAUCAACAGGCUUCACCAUGGAUCUCUUGAGCCAUUGACAAGGUCCCUACAUUGUAGUCCUCAGCACUCCAACUGCUAUCAAAGUAGCCAGAAAGCCUACCUCGAUGCAUCAUUCCCACUUCAAGCAGGUCCUGGCUUCCAAAGGCGAUCAACCUACAGAUAAGUGGACUGCCAUUCCCUCCAAGGACUCUUUAAAGCUCAAGAUUGCCAAAUGUAACUAAUAAUCUUAUGUUCUCCCUUAUGGAGACCCCAAGGAGGCCUCUAUCUGGCUUUUAAAAAAUUGUUAAUUAUGUGACAAAACAGUGAAUUUAAAUGUUGGUUUUCUUUCUCCUUUUGGUUAACAGCUUUAAUAAUGACAGCUGCAAGAACUUUGUUAAUCUUCCUAUUGGGCCUUGUAUUAUACACAGAUUAGUAAACUAUGUCAAAGGUUCAAAUUAUACAGCUUAUGAUUUUAAAGACGCAAGGUUAUAAACAGGUACCUAUGUCUGAAAACCCCAUGAGCCAAUGAUUUGGUGCACUGACUAAAAUCAGUGGGGAAAGCUGUACACUAGCUAAAAGAGCUUUGUUAUGUUUGUAUUAAGCCAAAGUACCUGUAAUGCCGCCUACUGUUUUGUAUGCAUUUUCCCCCCUCUGGGUGACCUAACUGAUAUGUUAAUCAAUCCUCCCUUCUGUAAAAAAUUGUAAAUCCCGGGAACCUAACCUAAUUGAUAUGUUAACCAUUGUUGCCCUCUAAUAAUAACAGAUGUGGUGCUAAAAUCAGCUGACAAAGAAUUAACUAAUGCUAGACUACUCUGUCCUCUGCUAAGGAAAACAUUUCCUUAGCAGAUUUCCUGAUCCACCCCCAUAACCCCUUUACUUUGUAAACUCUGCUCUCUACAAGAGACUAGAAAGCUUUAAGGAGGACACACAGCUUUUGCAAAUUCCAACUGCACUGUGUUACAGGGCCCAGGAUAAAAUAAAUCAGCACUGCUUUUUGAAAAUAAAAACAUGUCUUGCCCAUUUUUGAACUUGAGUUUAGGCUUUGGGGGGCUUGUUUGUGGAUUACAAGAUUUAAUGGCAUAUUUUUAUUAUUUUACUCUUUCACAUGUUAUAUUAGUUGUUAAAGUUACUGGUAUUCCUUGCUUAACUAUAUUUAGACAAUAGCACCACAGAUAAUAAUAGAACACCCUCAACAGUCUUCAAUAUAAAUUUCUAUUAAAUGGUUCUCUUAAAUGAAAUCUAGUUCAGACUUAGAAAACUUACAUGCCUACAAUAAAACAUGGGACUCGUUCCACCAUUUAAGAUGCACUAGGCUGGUGGCCAUGCUUCCGGACUUGAAGGACAGGUUUCACUGAGACAGACUGGUUCUGAUCCUCCUUUAUCCUCCAGAGGAAUGUCAAGCCUGUUCUGCUUCAGUUUCCUUUGUUUCACUUUACCUCUUACUCUCUUCCCACUUUACAUUUUCCUAAUAAAGGCAUAUAAAAGUGGGAAAAACUCUAGAUUAUUCCAACCUUUUCCUUUUGAGUUAAGCCCAUAGAAAAUGAGCAUUUGCUAAUGCCAAGAACAGGGAAGUCAUCUUAGAUGAGGGACACAUACCCCAUCUCUGAAUCAGAUGAGACAUCAGAAUUGUGCCCAUUCAGGAGAAUACACAUGAAAGCUGUGUCCCAGCUCAGUGUUCUGGGCAAAUCUCCUUUGGAAAUUAAACCUGAGACACAGUGGGGAGAACCAGUUUCCAUGUGGCAAUGGAAGCAGCUAUCCUUAAAAGCAGCACACAUAGGGGACCUAAACCUAUUUAGAAUAAGGAGACUUUCCAACCUCUCAAAUUAUGGACUUAAAAACCUUUAUUAUAAAUUGAUAAAGAAGUAGGUAAUGAUCUUGCUCAGUCUUUUAAUUAUCCCUCAUAGAAUUUUGACACAAAGUGGUCACUGUGCCAGCUAAUUAUCCUUAUAGCAACUGCCACCCUCAAAAUCAGAGGCUAGCUUUCCCCAGCAUCUGUUUGGUGAAUCCCCAUGGAAGCCAGUGGCCAAUGGAGUCAACACAAUGUUGACCAGACAGGCAGCUGGAUUCCUUUUUGCAGACUGAUGUCUGGUUAUCUGAGGCAAUAGAAACUGAGAACUGAGGGUUCCUGGCCAGAGCAACACCCUGGUUGUCACCCAACAUUUCCUCAAUGGACAUUUGCUCAUGACCACUUAAAAUCUCCCCUUUUCUAUCAUUCUUAUUUCUCUGCUAGUAGACUAAAAACAUUCUAAACUUUUCAAUAGAUCUUCAGAUCACUUAAACUACCCGUCCCUUCAGAGAUUAUACUGAGGUAGCUUGCAAUGAUUGCUUACAUUCCAUAGCAGCUAGUAGGGAAAUGAUUUACCUAUGUUAAUUAAAAGUAAAUAGACUUGAGCAAUUAUUUCUAAGAUGACAAUGUGUAAUCUAUUAUCUAGUGAUUUCUAUUUUUUUGAAAUUCUGUGUUACUUGGACUCUUUUUCACUUUUUUCUUUUCUCUUUAAAUAAAAGUUUUUUCUUUUGUCUUUAAAUAAAAUUUUUAAAAAUGUAA